rnacentral:rRNA from 1 species
UACGGGGGGGGCAAGCGUUGUUCGGAAUUACUGGGCGUAAAGGGCUCGUAGGCGGCCAACUAAGUCAGACGUGAAAUCCCUCGGCUUAACCGGGGAACUGCGUCUGAUACUGGAUGGCUCGAGAUUGGGAGAGGGAUGCGGAAUUCCGGGUGUAGCGGUGAUAUGCGUAGAUAUCUGGAGGAACACCGGUGGCGAAGGCGGCAUCCUGGACCAACACUGACGCUGAGGAGCGAAAGCCAGGGGAGCAAACGGG